GCGCUCAUAGCUUAACUGGAUAAAGCAGUUGCCUCCUAAGCGACCGACGUGGGUUCGAGUCCCGCUGAGCGUACCA
rnacentral:tRNA from 1 species